CCCACGCGUGUCCGUGUCCGUAACCCCCCCCACACGCGGGGCUUUGCCCCCAUCUCUCCGUUCUCUGUGCUGGGGGUCACCCCUGGGCUCCCCCCCCCCCCCGUUUGGACCGGACCCGGCCUGGCCCCGCACCGCUGCACUGCACAGUGGGGCCUCAUUAGGGUUGGGGUCCGGCCCAGAGACCCCCAGAGGGUCCACCCCAAAGACCCUCUAUAGGGUCGUGGUCAGUUCAGAGACCCCCAUAGGGUCCAUCCCAAAGACCCGCUAUAGGGUCAGUCCAGAGACCCCCACAGGGUCCAUCCCAAAGACCCCCUGUAGGGUCACGGUCAGUCCAGUCACCCCCAUAGGGUCCAUCCCAAAGACCCCCAUAGGGUCAUGGUCAGCCCCAAAGACCCCAUAGGGUCCAGGUCCAUCUCAGGGACCCUUGUAGGGUCAGGGUCCACCCAGAGACCCCCCAAAGGGUCAGAGUCCAUCCCAAAGACCCCUGUAGGGUCAGGAUCCAUCCCAGUGACCUCCCCAUAGGGUCCAGGUCAGCCCAGAGCCCCCCCAUAGGGUCCAUCCCAGGGACCCCCAUAGGAUCGGGGUCCAUGCAAAGACCCCCAUAGGGUCAGAGCCUAUCCCAAGGACCCCCAUAGGGCCCAUCUCAUGGACCCCCAUAGGAUCAGAGUCCGCCCAGAGACCCCCAUAGCCUCCAUCCCACGGCCCCCCCAUAGGAUUUGGGUCCAGCGGGGUCCGGCUCCACCUCCGCCCCCCCCUCCCCUAUGGGACACCCCCACACGUGCCGCUAUGGGGCAGUGGUUGCCCCGCGGGGACACGGUGACACCGCCCCCCCCCUCCAGCGCUGCGGUGGCACUUCCGCGCGGAGCGGCGUUAAUUAAUGAUUAAUCAGCGCUCCCCGGGGCCGAGCGCCGCGGGGGGGGGGAGGGGAGGGGCUCUGCGCUGUGCUAUGGGGGGGGGAGGGGGAGGGCGGGACCCCCAUUGGGAUGGGGGGAUCAGAGGGGGGGUCGUGGGGGGGGGUUGGGAGCACAUAGAGAUCCGUGAAUGGGGCGUGCAAAGGGGGGGGGGGGUGCGAGGGGACGCGCGUGUGCGCGUGCAAGAGGUGCGCGGAAGGGCGCGCGCGCGUGCAAGGAUGGGUGUGCAGGGGGGGAGUGCGCG
rnacentral:lncRNA from 1 species